rnacentral:sRNA from 1 species
CUUCUUCGAUCUGCUGUGGGCAGAUGAAGUGGAUAUGCGUGUCGACACCGCCUGCGGUGAGGAUCAUGCCUUCACCCGCGAUGAUUUCGGUGGCCGCGCCGAUAGCGAUGGUUACGUCCGGCUGGAUGUCCGGGUUGCCCGCUUUGCCAAUGGCGGCGAUGCGGCCGUCCUUGAUGCCGACGUCGGCCUUGACGAUGCCCCAGUGAUCGAUGAUCAGCGCGUUGGUGAUCAGUGUGUCGACCACUUCGGCCGCCAGCAAUUGGCUUUGGCCCAUGCCAUCGCGGAUG